AAUAAUUCCCAGCCUGCAAAUUAUUCAUGAUAUAAUUUAUAAAAGUAAUGUAAUUUUCGGAACGCACUGAAAUGAAUGGGCAUUAUGUAAUUAAUAUGACAGCCCGUUAUAAAAUCAGGUUUAGUCUAGGAGAAAAACAUAUUUUAUCACUCCUCGGUUACGACGCCAUUGGGAAAUAGAAGUAAAAGUCAAUAGAUGCAUUAUGCAAAAUUCCACAUUUGGGAUUUUAUCUAGAUUCGUCCCAAUAACAGCAAGAUUGGCGUCAAUUUAAAGAGCCUAAGACCAGUUUUGUGAAGAGCAGGCGAGAAAACGGGAUAUUGGAUACCGAUCCAUGCUACAGAAUUGUUUGUAAUAUAUGGUAUUUCCAGUUGAUUGUAGUGAAGUGCUUACAUGAACGAUUAAUUAUUGUGGAAUUUUAAAGAAGAAUAGAAAAAUAACAAAACGAAACUGGAAGGGAAUUGGAGGUUUAGAACAAAAAAAAAGAUAAACACUUUUGUAUGACACCAGUGCGAAAAUAACAAGCAAAAAUAACAAUGAGUGUUUGUUCAGCAACGGCGGCAGCAACAAGACCCGGCGCCCGUCGGGAAUCCCGUAGUUCGAGUUCUCGAGCUAGCACGACAGAAGCUCAGUUUUUUAUGGACAGGUCUGGUUCGAAGCAGCUAGAUCCAAGAAAAUACAGUACAAUUUCAACAAACAAACCUUCAUCAGGAUCGAAUCUUUGUUGCGUCAUUUCCAUACUCAUCGCAAUCAUUGCCAUUGGAUGGUUUGAAUCAAACAUGGAUUUCAUUGGCUGAACAUUUUGCACGUGCUUCAAGGGGAUUGGUCAUUUUCCUUCAAGGACUUUCAUUGGCUGCUUUUCGACUGAUAAUAGAUUAGUAGCUGAGAGGUUAGAGAUCACUUUUGACGCGGAUAUCGCUUAUGCACAUCUGACUAUACUAGUACAUCCUGUGUACUUGAGAGGGAUAUAUUUAUGUUACAAAUGCGUCAUGUAUUUUCUUCUGUUCACUUUGUUAUUUUUGAUUGAUUGUCAUUGUACCGUUGACACCAAAGCUUCAGUACCGUUCAUCAAUAAUUUGAGGAUUAUUAAUUAAUUUGGUAUAACAAUGUAAUAGUUAAUAUUGAUCUAAAUUUCUUUUUGUAGAAAGCUCUAUAUUUUUUUCCAAAAUUUUAUGAAGAGGGAAUACCAUUUUGUUGUAAAUGAAUUAAAUUGCAUGUUAUCCGACCUAUUGCUAAGUUAGAAAUGCAUUGUACUGUUAACUUUCUGUCCUGUAUGAUAAUACAAAUAAUACGGUAGAGGACACAAAUCUCAUUGUCCCAAAACUCAAUAUUGUUGCAAAUUGCUCUGAUAAUUUCUCAUAGUUCUCGAGAGUUUAUUAAUUUGCGCUCCCUGGCGGUCCAUCUCUGUAUUCAUUUGUCUCUCUAUUGGCGUUAAAUGAAGCUUAUCUGGUGUCAGAAUUUACAGAUAUACUGUAAACUAGAUAAUUGUAAUUGCAUUUAAAAACUCUAUUGUUGAAAAACAUUCUAUCAAUUCAUCCAUAAUAUUUGAGAACAUUUAUUCUAUGGUCAUUCUCCUCAGUUCUUGGUAGGUAGAUAUUGUUAAUUUCUUUGUAAAAUUAUAUUUUGUUGAUAUUCAUAUAGAGUUGGGGUUAACCCCUAUUUCUAUAAACGGAUUUUCAUUGAAAAUUUAAAAAAGACAGCAACGCACAGUAACUUUAUUACUGGGGCAUGACUUAAUUAACCUUAGCGCGAAUGAAUUUUGCUUUGAAGGGUUUUAGAAACUUGCACCGUUUAUAGAUAUGCAUUACUGUUUUAGUUAUUUUAACAGAUUUGUAUUCUAUUUUUUACAACAGACCAGUAAUUGAUUUGCAGCCAAAUAGCUCAAAAUACACUGUUGAAAAAGAAUCUGGGCAUCAUUUUUCGGCCAAUUGUUUUUAUCUUUUGUCAGUGUGUUGAUAUGAAUCUUAGAUAUAAAUGUGAUAUAUUUUAAUGUUAAUAUUUUAUCAGUUAUUUUAUCAUUAUCUGGGCUGAUGCUAGAAAAGCUUUAAAACAUUUUAUUUCAUAGAAUAUGCUAAUCAAACUAUAAACAAUGCUUUAUAUCUAUUGUGGAGGAACAAUUUUAUUGUACUCCAAUUGAAACUUUUAGUAAAAGAAACAAUUAUAUAAACUUUAAAACAUCAACAAUGAUGUUUUUCACAUGCAGUAUUUUGGUCAAAUGAGCGGGCUGUGAGAAAAAAUAACGUUAGGGUUUUGCGACCACUGCAUGCACAUUCUUGCAGUCUGAUCUGGAUCCAUACUGCUCGCUUACAAGUUGCUGAAAUCGGUAAACCGAUAGUAGUGGAUGCGAGGAUACACGAGUAGUAUGGAUAUACACUGAUCUGUAUCAUUUUAGGUCGAAAAGCCCUGACGUUGAUGUUUGCACAGCGGCGCUAACAACACCUAUACUUUUGUUAUUUUUUCAAACCAUUUUGAUUUGUCAAAAACAAGAAAAUUAUGAAAGUUAACUUUAAAUAUACUUCCCAGAAAAAUAUAAAGGAACUGUUUAAGAAGAAAAUUGAUUUUGACUGAUUUGACUUCUCUUUUAAAAAGUGUUUACCAUAAUAUUCUGUCCUAUGUCCAAACCGUUUAGUGUCUGGUAAUACGAGAAGAAAUGAAACUACUUGUGAUAAGCCACUCUUGUAUAAGACACCAAUUCUGAAAUAAUUGAUUUAAUUAGUUUAACUUAUAAUAAUCCAAUAUGCAGAUUGUAAAUAACAUCAUUGUAAAUAAUUUGUUGUAAUUUGGUUUGAUGUAAUAUGUUGUUUUAAGGACAUCUUUUAUUAAUCUUUACAAUAUAUUUUAUUUUGAUGUUGUUUUGUUCAUGAAGACAUAAGCAGGUGUAUAACAAACUUCAAAUACAUGAUGGAAAUGGGUUUUGCUAUUGAAUGGCACAAGUAUAUAUUGAUUUUCUUUACCAGUUGACUAUAUAUGUCUAAAGCAAUUUGUUUUGAAUAAAUAUAAAUUUACUAAAA
rnacentral:lncRNA from 1 species